rnacentral:rRNA from 1 species
CAUCCCAGUUCGGAUCGCAGGCUGCAACCCGCCUGCGUGAAGUUGGAAUCGCUAGUAAUCGCGGAUCAGCAUGCCGCGGUGAAUACGUUCCCGGGCCUUGUACACACCGCCCGUCACACCAUGAGAGUCGGGAACACCCGAAGUCCGUAGCCUAACCGCAAGGGGGCGCGGCCGAAGGUGGGUUCGAUAAUUGGGGUGAAGUCGUAACAAGGUACC